rnacentral:rRNA from 1 species
AGUGAACGCUGGCGGUAGGCCUAACACAUGCAAGUCGAACGGCAGCACAGUAAGAGCUUGCUCUUACGGGUGGCGAGUGGCGGACGGGUGAGGAAUACAUCGGAAUCUACUUUUUCGUGGGGGAUAAGGUAGGGAAACUUACGCUAAUACCGCAUAGGACCUACGGGUGAAAGCAGGGGAUUUUCGGACCUUCGGCGAUUGAAGGAGCCGAUGUCGAAUUGGCUAGUUGGCGGGGUAAAGGCCCACCAAGGCGACGAUCCGUAGCUGGUCUGAGAGGAUGAUCAGCCACACUGGAACUGAGACACGGUCCAGACUCCUACGGGAGGCAGCAGUGGGGAAUAUUGGACAAUGGGCGCAAGCCUGAUCCAGCCAUACCGCGUGGGUGAAGAAGGCCUUCGGGUUGUAAAGCCCUUUUGUUGGGAAAGAAAAGCAGCAGGUUAAUACCCCGCUGUUCUGACGGUACCCAAAGAAUAAGCACCGGCUAACUUCGUA